rnacentral:lncRNA from 1 species
ACUUUAUAUAACAGUUGAAUACUAGGCAGCUUGACUUUCCCCUUUGGUAUUUACAUCUCUGGAUGCAAACUGACAAACUCCAAUUCGCUUUCCUCCUUUUUUUCCUUAUUGUCCUCAGGCCUAGAGUAUGUACUCAGGUAGCAAAGUCAGGACAGAUCAGCCUUUGAAAAUAAUAAAAAUAUAAAACUAUAUGAACUAGCACUGCAUUCAGAGUCCUCUGAGAUGUGUCUACUUCAGGCCAUGUUUCAGUCUGAAGAAAUUCAGCAAUAGACCCAUUGCCCGUUCGUUAUGGCUUUCAACCCCUUCUGGUAGCAGCAUAGAAAUAUUAGGAUACAGAGUUUUUUGUUGUUUUCUCAGUCCCUCCCCCCCCCCCCCCCCCUUUUUUUUUUUUUAUUUUUACAUAUAAUAAGAAAUUAUACCCAUGGUCCCGCCUCCAACAGAAUUUAAAAGCAAACAUCUAGAACAAGAUAAGCAUAUGUGAUCUGCUUCCUCUCAUCUUUUCUCUGAGUAUGUUUAAUACAGAGCCAUCUUGAGGCAUUGUGUUUUCCAUGUGAGUGCCAAUGGGUAUCUCUCCCAAAUCCAAGGUUCCUGGUCUUCAGCCUGGAAGCACUGAUGGCUGGCAAACAAAAGGUACUCUUCAGGCUACGAGUACUGUGCUUCAGCCAAAACAGAGACAAAGCGACUCAGGCCUGGACUAGACAUGAAUCAGAGCGAUCAGAAGACCCAGUAUUUCACUCCAGAAGUUCUGUAAGUAUGUUCUACACUGGGCACUUGAAAAUGUUCUGUGAGUAGCAUUAAUAGCCAAGUGUAUAAAGAUUCAUGUGCUUGUUGACAACUUAUAAGGGCAUUUUUUGUUCUGCAAAAAUAAAUAACUAAAGAAAAUUCCCA